rnacentral:rRNA from 1 species
UACGUAGGGGGCAAGCGUUGUCCGGAAUUAUUGGGCGUAAAGGGCGCGCAGGCGGCCGUUUAAGUCUCGUGUUUAAUCCCGGGGCUCAACCCCGGUACGCAUGGGAAACUGGAUGGCUUGAGUGCAGAAGAGGAGAGUGGAAUUCCACGUGUAGCGGUGAAAUGCGUAGAGAUGUGGAGGAACACCAGUGGCGAAGGCGGCUCUCUGGUCUGUAACUGACGCUGAGGCGCGAAAGCGUGGGUAGCAAACAGG